GCCUGUAGCUCAGCUGGUAGAGCAGCGGCCUUUUAAGCCGUUGGUCGCAGGUUCGAUUCCUGCCAGGC
rnacentral:tRNA from 1 species